UCAUUGCUGGAACGCGCCUCGGCGCACCCAGAAACCCUUUGUGAACUUAUACCUUACUGUUGCCUCGGCGCAGGCCGGCCCCUCCACCGGGGCCCCUCGGAGACGAGGAGCAGCCCGCCGGCGGCCAACCAAACUCUUGUUUCUUAGUGAAUCUCUGAGUAAAAAACAUAAAUGAAUCAAAACUUUCAACAACGGAUCUCUUGGUUCUGGCAUCGAUGAAGAACGCAGCGAAAUGCGAUAAGUAAUGUGAAUUGCAGAAUUCAGUGAAUCAUCGAAUCUUUGAACGCACAUUGCGCCCUCUGGUAUUCCGGAGGGCAUGCCUGUUCGAGCGUCAUUUCAACCCUCAAGCCUGGCUUGGUGUUGGGGCACUGCUUCGAGAGGAGCAGGCCCUGAAAUCUAGUGGCGAGCUCGCCAGGACCCCGAGCGUAGUAGUUAUAUCUCGUUCUGGAAGGCCCUGGCGGUGCCCUGCCGUUAAACCCCCAACUUCUGAAAUUUUGACCUCGGAUCAGGUAGGAAUACCCGCUG
rnacentral:rRNA from 1 species